ACUCCUACGGGAGGCAGCAGUGGGGAAUAUUGCACAAUGGGGAAAGCCCAUCGAUGCAGCCAUGCCGCGUGUGUGAAGAAGGCCUUCGGGUUGUAAAGACACUUUCAGCGAGGAGGAAAGGGUGUGUGCUAAUACCAUACAUCUGUGACGUUACUCGCAGAAGAAGCACCGGCUAACUCCGUGCCAGCAGCCGCGGUAAUACGGAGGGUGCGAGCGUUAAUCGGAAUUACUGGGCGUAAAGCGUGCGCAGGCGGUUUGUUAAGCGAGAUGUGAAAGCCCGG
rnacentral:rRNA from 1 species